rnacentral:lncRNA from 1 species
GAGGGGAGCAGCGGAGACAGAGUCUCACGCACAGGUAUGCCCAGACACCCUGAACCCAGUUACUUAACCUCGUCAACCACUGUGGCAUCCGCGGGGUCCGUGGGCCCAUGGGUCUUCCGGGAGGGAUUCUGUGUCCCUGUUAUUGUGUGUCAAUAGGUGUUAGCCUGAUAUUUAUAUUUUUAAUGAGAGAAAACAAACUCCAGAAUUUGGGAACUGUUUUUCCGGUUUUGCUUUAUACCUCUUGGACACUCCUUCGAAGGACUGGAUCUGAGGGGCAUUGGGGUGCGACUACGGUGGACAAGGGAUGAUUAAUUUUCAUCCAAAAAUCUUUGGUGGAUUCCCCCGGCUCUCCAGCUCACCAGUCUAACAGUAGUUUAAAACAGAAGAUCAGCAACGUUUGGAGAGUUUUUUUUUCUUUGCGUUUUAAUGAUAAACUUGAUUUAUUCAAUUCUAUUCUGAGGUUGUCUUUCUAUAUUUUGAGUAUAAAACGAUGGCCAUACUAUGUUGGAACCACUAAGGUUCUUCUCUUCACUUGUUAUUCGUAAAGUCUCUUUGUAAUCUGAGAAUUUCCUGAGUAAACUGGGAACUGUUAUACAUAAUUCCUUGUUUUUGAGCAUUCUUUGUAAACAGGAAUCAGGAUUGGGGGUGGGGAGGGAGGGAGGAGUAGGAGUGCUGAUUUGUGUAACGGAAAAUCAUGGAUUACUUAUGUGAUGGAGCAAAGGUUUAAAAACUCUUAGCGUCCCCGGAUUUCCCCUUUUACUGUUUGCUGAAGAAAAUUCUGUCUUUGACUCCCUUCCUUACCCUCUCCUGGCCUGUGAGCUGCUUCCUCCCUAUUCAGUUUAUUUCCUCCUCCCCUCCCCGCCCCACUCCCCCACCCCCGCAGCCCCCUCCUCUUUUUCAGUGAAGCUGCUGGAGGAAAGUCGGGUUUGGGAGAAGACCCACACAGGCAAGGACAGCAGAACACUGACAUAUAGUUACACUCUUGUCGCCAGCACUGUCAUUAAGAUGUUGUGAAAAGACAAAGACAAAAGAGGAGAGGAAAGAAUAAUAUCUCCGUUUCAGGAGAUAUUCCACAAUAUUCCAGGAUGUUGUGCCUACUGUCCAGAGUCCUUGAUCCGAUGUAGUAAAGAGCUAGGGACAUUUUCACUGAAGGCUUUGAUUGCUGGCAAAAUCUCAUUAAAAGUGUAUACAUUGAUAGGUUGGCCACAGAAUGGCCAAAGAAGAGCCUCUGGCCUACAUCUGCCAAGAUAUAUGUGUAAGAAUACACUCUGCAGCAUUAUUUUUUAUUGUAAAAUAGCAGAACGAAUUUAUUAUUCAAUAAUUAUAAAAUGUUCAAAUGUAUGUGACUAUAUUCGGACAAUGAAAAAUGCAGCUGUUAAAAAUAGACAAUACUGAUGAUUCAGAUGAUGUUACUGAUGAAAAUAAUAACAGAUGACAAUUAUUGAGCAUUUAUGCAAUCUUACAUGCAUUACCUUAUUUAAAGUUCAGAACAACUAAGGAAAUGAGUAACUUGGGGCGGGCGUGAGAGGUUUGGAGGCACAAAAGGAAGAUAGGCAUUCAAGGGACACCAGGAUAGAAGAGCCACAGUAGAAGAGAGAGGAAGAGGAGUCCGCCAGGUGGGAUGCUGCAAGCCGCUGGAUAGCACGGCGGAGAUAGGGCGUUCCUGCCCCGCAAGCCUCCCUGCGACCGCAGGCCUCCGGCCGCCUUCUUCCAGGAAGACGCGCCCUGCUUUCUUCUGAUGUUGGUAGAGACGCUGCAAAGCGCAUCGUCCUCGAGCAUUUCUUCUCUCCCCAAGACCCUCCGAAGGAGCAUUUCUUCUCUCCCCAAGACCCUCCGAAGGAAGGAUGGGCGGACAGACUAAGUGGUCAAACGCGCAGAGCUCCAGCUUCCGCAGGAGCAUUUCCCGAGUGUCUUUCAUGGGUAAGAGUGGGCCCUGCAGGAUAAUGCCUCCCGUUCCCUGAGGAGCAGUGCGGGAGAUGCCCAUGUGGCCAGCUCCUGGGCCACGCGACCCAGGCCCUCCAGGAGGAGCGAGGAGUCCUGGGCCCUGAGCCAGCCCCCUGGACCGGCUGUGCCAAGAGAAGCAGCAAGGGAAGGGGUCCCCUCCUGCCUCAGGGUCUCUGUCCUCCUGGGGUUAAGAGACGUGCAUCCAACUCCCUCUCCAAGUGCUGGAGAGGAGGCUAGGUCUUUCCCACGGGCUGGGGGCCUUGCUGUCCCAAGGACGGCUGGGGAGGAGGAGGAGGCCGGUUGAGAUAUGUGAAGCAGCUCUGGCUACAGCGGGUAGGGAGAGGGCGCGCGGGACCCAGGAGCCUCCGUGCGGAGCCAGGCCUCAGGAGCAGCCGCCUUGUUCCUGGAAGGGGUGCCUCCCUCCAUCUUGUCUCCAAAGACUGUAGGGAGACCUUCUCGCCCGGUAGGAAAGCGACGUCUCCCAUGCUUUCCCACCACGCAGGCCUUGUGGCCUUUCUCCUGCUAGUGUCUGCCCUCCAACCUGCGGGGGCUGCGGCUGCCACGGUUCCACGCUGGGUGGACGCUGCCUGCCCGGGAUCCAAGAGCCGCCGUUGCAGGCGGGAGUUGGGGAGUCGUGUGCAGGUCCGAAGGAGACCCAAGCUCUUGGUCAAGGCUUUUUUGCUAUAGCCAAAUUCAGCGUGUAAAAGACAGAGAGCUCACAUCUGUCUGUUCGUAAGCUUCGGUGAGAACACCAAGGAAGCGCACUCAAGAUUCGUAGGAGGGCGGGAAGGGUCCCUGGCGGCGAUAUCCACAUCGGCGGUGAGCCAAGGCAUGUCAGGAGAGUGAGUGCGCGAACCCAGCCGCCGGAUAGCGCAAACACCACCGCGGACGAGGGCCCCGCAUGUGGAGAAAUCGCAGGGGUCAGCGGAGCCGAAGUGUGGUGGACUAGCCUCCUCCAGGGAGAACCCCCUUCCUGACCACUGUAUGUCCCCCGCCACAUAAGGGGAGAGGAGGGACAGCACAGCCUACUCUCCCCUGGCCGACGAUCAGGGUCACCACCUUCUCCUCUGCUCUCCCCUCGCCAUUCUUCCAAACCACCCUCCGCCAAAGAUUCCACGGACAGUCACCCUCCCAACAACCCAGGCCUCCUUUCAGCAGCGGCUCCCGCCCCACAGCCACCGCGCCCUCUCACCCCCGCGGUUCUGCCCGCCGCCUCUGCCGAGUCUGUGCACUUCACCUCCCUGGGUCCCGCUCCCCCCUGAGCUUACAGUGGACGAGGGGCAGGACGGGGGGAAGGCCAUUCGGCUGCCCUUCUAGCUUCAGAAUCACCCAGUGAACGGGUUUCAACCGUAGCCGGCAAGAUGCGCCUCUCCGGUUUUCCGAGGCUUUGGAACCUGCACAAUUGUUCUGCAAAAGACGGUGGCUCCGCCUAGCAUUGGAUGGGCGCUUGCUCUGCAUGGUGAUGCCGGAGCGAGGGUCGACUGUCCGUAUGUCGCAGUCGGGUGGUGUGCUUGCUUCCAAGUCUGGAGUUGGCUGGUUCAAGCUCGUUCUACUGAGCGUUUCUUGCAUUUUAAAAAUGCUUAAACCGCUGGCAACUUUCUUCUACCCAGCACAUUCUCUCAUGGAAUGGCAGAGCAAGACCAACUUUACCCGCCUCUCCUCCGUGUCUCCCAUACGACAUGAGGACGUAAAUCAAGAUCUGGAUUUUCAUCUGGUAUUGGAUUCCUUCUGCCCGGAAGACUCCUUUGACGUUUCUGUAGUGUGGGUCAGCUGGUAGUGAAUUCGGUCAGCUUAUGAACUCAAAAGAGGUGUAGGAGGAGAGAAGCUCAAUUAUCACCCUGGUCUCCUGGAGUAUCCCAGGCACAGUCCCAAGAGUUCAGCUUUUCAUACUCGAGUUCCUGGGUCCUGAAGGCCUUUUUGGGGAAAGUACUGAUGUUCGUGUCAAGGUUGGGAAGAAAGGGUUUGGGAGGAACCAAGCAACAGGGAGGCAAAGAGAAGACAUCAACAAGCGAGGCAAGAACUUUCCACAGGCUCACACUGGAUACAGGACCAGAGACAAGAAGCUGGCAGUGUGGUGGGGAGGCCAUGGCAAUCAUUAGCUCUGGAGGCCUGAGGAGGACACUCUGAAGAGGAAAGCCCCGCGAUCAUCCGGUUUCACCCCUGUUUUCAUCUACUCUUUUCCUCAGCGAAGCCUAUAUGGGUUCCCGAUGUCACAUCGCAGCUACCGCAUUGGAGGGUUAAGAGCCGCUGACAAAUCUCUUUCGGGAAGGGAAGAAGAGUUCCAAACAAAAGAUCUACUACCCUGAGAAGCGGUGAAGUGCUCCUGGGGCCCACCAAGGCCACACAAGUCAAGGAGUGGAUGGCCUUGCCCCAGCUAUGGCUCAGAUCACCUUUGCAGGAUGACAUCUUGUUGGGAGAUGGUCAUCAGAGACAGGGCCAUGGAAGACGCUGUCAGGAGGAGGCACAGAGGAAAGGCUAUGGGAGCACAAAGCAAGAAAGUGGCCUUCUGCAAGCCAGGAAGAGAGGCCUCCCCAGAAACCAACUCUACCAGCACAUUGAUCUUGGACUUUUGGCCUCUAGAACAUUGAGAAAAUAAAAGUCUGCUGUUAAACCACCCAACCUUUGGUAUCUUUCUAUGGCAGCCUGAGCUGACUAACACCCUUGGUAGGUGGGCAGCAUUCACCUUAUUGGGCUACAUGAUGAGAAGUUAAAGUAACUUUAGCAAUAGGCACCAUUUGAUUUCAUUGUAUAGAUAUUGUGUCUUUUGCACUGAUUUUGCCUUUUUUAGUUGUGUGUAUAUUGAUGCCUGGGCCUAGCAUUACAAGACUAGUCGAAAUGGGAAGAAAGAAAAGAAAGUGGGAAAGAUACCAAGUUCCAUAAUUGCAUCCUCUACCCACAUCCAGUUCUUAGAAUCUUUUCCAAUGGAGACUGCACCUUGUGUACACUCAAAUUCAAUCUGAGCGCACAAUCAUUUAGACAACCAAGGCAACUUUUCCAAUUUUCAGCAUCACACGCUUGGGAAAACAAGUAUUUCAAUCACUAAUUUAAAUAUUCAUUGAGGUAAUUAUUCUGAGGUUGAUGAAAAAUAUGGUGUAUCCAUGUACUGUUGCCUUCUCCUGGGUCAAGAAUGUUGUCUUUACUCUGCUGGCUCACAUUUGACCAGAAAUUGGAGUCCCAGCAAAUCUUACUAGCCACUCAGGAAGCCUAUUUUAAGAUAGUCCCAAUCUCAAACUUGUUCUAAGACUUGUAUGCUGACUGAGGAGAAAGAGCCUCAUGACAAAAAUUCAACUAGAGCUGUGGGUGACAGUUGUGUGUCUCACUACUGGUCUGGGCCCAGGUUUCCCGUGAGCACCUAAUGAAUAGACUCAAUUGCAGGGAUCGUCAAGAUGCUCACUAUGUCUACCUCAUAGCCUCAAAAGAAGUGAUAACUAACAGAAUUUGUGUAGUAUCCUGAAGGGAAAUUAAUCCAGAUAUAGAGGAAAAGAUAAGGAUUUUUUAAAACAGACAUGUGAUUCAACAGUUGUUUAAGAUGCAGAAAGCUGUAAGAGACAGUUGUUCCCACUCUAAUGACAAGAAAAAGCUGUAUGGUCUGCAAAAUCAUACGUGCUUUGAUCCCACCAGAGAGCUGAAGUUGCAAGGCCCCUGAGUCAGCUGAAGUCCAAAGCGUGAGAAAACCCCCUAUAGAAGGACAAACACAUGAAGCAGUUCAUCUUUGACAGAUAAUGGAAGGAAAAGAUGGCAGCCAUAAAUGUUCAUUGGAGAAAAUCACUGAAGAUUUCAUCAUUUCUUAAAGGCCAAGUGUGAACUAUUGUGACAGAUUAGAAACUCUGAGAGUCCCAGAUACAUAGCAUGGUUUUGCCCAUUUGCUGGGUCCUUCCUCCCACGUCCUUAGUGCUGACAAGACACAUGUAACAGGGAAAGAGGAUUUCUCAAGCUUGCCACAGUGGCGUAGGCAUAAAAGUCAUGAUCACAUGAUCGACCACCACCAGAGUACAGGCACAAAACCUGGUUGCUUCUCACAUAAAACAAAAGGCAUCUACCACUGAUGUUGGAGCUAGGAACUCGUCCAACCCUUGGCCCCAGGGAUAGGGCAACUGCUGAGGUAGGGUUAGACAGAAAAACUGUCUGUAUUGGACAAGGGGAGGAGACUUGCUCUUGCCCAAGACUUCCCAUCAUUGAAAGGUAGUGUUCCGCUACCCCAAGGGGAUGUCACAGGAACACUAGGACCCAGGUAUCCAUGGCCUGAGGCUUGAUACACAUUCAGUGCAAUCAGUAAUGUGAGUUGGUUUCGACCAAUCAUUUGAGUUGGUUGCAGACCCUUUCCUCUAAUGAGGAAAAACUGUGGUGUGGGUACAAAGUUUCCACGUUCAGAAAGAUUGGCCUUGUCCUUACAGAUAUUAUAUUGAUUGGAUUUCUCUCAACCUCCUUAAGUUAUGUUUACCAUUAUUAAAAUUAAGUGACAUUCACUUGGAAGAAGUGGUAAUACAAACAGGUUGUGAGAAUUUAUAGUGAUUUUUGAUCCCAAGCCUUGUAUCACUGUUGGGUCUUCAUGUGUGUACUUGAAAACAAAACAUGUACAAUUGUUGCACUGGUUUGAAGAUUUUAAUGGUGGAAGUGACCUAAUCAGUAAUCAGUACUGUAUCUAGAAACGAAUCUUGGAAAUAUGUGAUUAUGCUCUUUUAAAAUCGCUGAAAAGAAGGCUGGGUGUGGUGGCUCAUUCCUAUAAUUCCACACUUUGAGAGGCUGA